rnacentral:rRNA from 1 species
GACGAACGCUGGCGGCGCGCUUAACACAUGCAAGUCGAGCGAAGCGGCGGACGGGGGAGUAACACGUGAGUAACCUGCCUUAGACCUUGGGAUAGCCUCGGGAAACCGGGAUUAAUACAAAAUGGUCUAAGAUGGACUAGCGUCCCAUUAGCUAGUUGGUGAGGUAACGGCCACCCAAGGCGACGAUGGGUAGCCGGCCGGAGAGGGGGAGCGGACACAUUGGAACUGAGAAACGGUCCAAACUCUACGGGAGGCAGCCGUGGGGAAUAUUGCACAAUGGAGGGAACUCUGAUGCAGCGACGCCGCGUGAACGAAGAAGGCUUUCGAGUCGUAAAGUUCUUUUAUAUGGGAAGCGGUACCAGAAGAAAAAGCCCCGGCUAACUACGUGCCAGCAGCCGCGGUAAUAC